UACGGGGGGGGCAAGCGUUGUUCGGAAUUACUGGGCGUAAAGGGCUCGUAGGUGGCCAACUAAGUCGGACGUGAAAUCCCUCAGCUUAACUGGGGAACUGCGUCCGAUACUGGAUGGCUUGAGUUUGGGAGAGGGAUGCGGAAUUCCAGGUGUAGCGGUGAAAUGCGUAGAUAUCGGGAGGAAUACCCAUGGCGAAAGCAGGCUACUGGACCGUCACUGACUCUGAUCUGCGAAAGCUAGGGGAGCAAACAGG
rnacentral:rRNA from 1 species